GAUGAACGCUGGCGGCGCGCCUAACACAUGCAAGUCGAACGAUUAAAGCACCUUCGGGUGUGUAUAAAGUGGCGAACGGCUGAGUAACACGUGGGCAACCUGCCCCUUUCAUUGGGAUAGCCACGGGAAACCGUGGAUAAUACCGAAUACUUCGAGACUUCCGCAUGGAAGACUCGAGAAAGCUCCGGCGGAGAGGGAUGGGCCCGCGGCCUGUUAGCUUGUUGGUGGGGUAACGGCCUACCAAGGCAAUGAUGGGUAGCUGGGUUGAGAGACCGACCAGCCAGAUUGGGACUGAGACACGGCCCAGACUCCUACGGGAGGCAGCAGUGGGGAAUCUUGCACAAUGGGCGAAAGCCUGAUGCAGCGACGCCGCGUGCGGGAUGAAGGCCUUCGGGUUGUAAACCGCUUUCAGCAGGGACGAGGCGAAAGUGGCGGUACCUGCAGAAGAAGCCCCGGCUAACUACGUG
rnacentral:rRNA from 1 species